rnacentral:rRNA from 1 species
UACGUAGGGUGCAAGCGUUAAUCGGAAUUACUGGGCGUAAAGCGUGCGCAGGCGGUUCGCUAAGACAGAUGUGAAAUCCCCGGGCUUAACCUGGGAACUGCAUUUGUGACUGGCGGGCUAGAGUAUGGCAGAGGGGGGUAGAAUUCCACGUGUAGCAGUGAAAUGCGUAGAGAUGCGGAGGAACACCGAUGGCGAAGGCAAUCCCCUGGACCUGUACUGACGCUCAUGCACGAAAGCGUGGGGAGCAAACAGG